CAAAGGGCCACCCAACAGGAGCUGGGGUUUUUGGUAGAAAAACACAAUGACUGGACCAGGCGUGGUGGCUCAGGCCUAUAAUCCCAGCACUUUGGGAGGCCGAGGCGGGUGGAUCACUUGAGGCCAGGAGUUUGAGACCAGCCUGGCCAACAUGGCGAAACCCCGUCUCUACUAAAAUUACAAAAAAUUAGCCAGGCAUAGUGGUGUGCGCCUGUAAUCCCAGCUACUCGGGAGGCUGAGGCAGGAGAAUUGCUUGAACCCAGGAAGUGGAGGCUGCAGUGAGCCGAGAUCGUGCCACUGUACUCCAGCCUGGGUGACAGAGUGAGACUCUGUCUCAAAAAAGAAAAACACAAUGACUGGCAGCAUGUGGCCUUGCAGAGAAGAAGCCGGAAGAAUAAAUACUUCAGCCUGUCUCUUCUGUUGCCCUUGGAUCACCUCUCAGUGCCUUCCAUUGGCCAAACCCAACCAGAACCUUGAGAGCAAGAGAGCUUGGUUGAUGUAGUCUAUUCAAGUCAACCUCUCAGGUCACAGAGUCAGGGGAAGAAAAGUGGAGAAUAGACUCACCAGGGCACAGGAAAACUGUCCAGAACAGUGGUAGAGGUGUCAAGAUAAUCCAGAGUCCAGUGCUGUGUAGAAAACUCUCAGUUCCUGUAGGCUGAGCUAUGUGGUUG
rnacentral:lncRNA from 10 species